AAGACAUCUGAGUGCUUGCACUUGGAUGGACUGAGUGGCGGACGGGUGAGUAACGCGUGGGUAACCUGCCUUAUACAGGGGGAUAACCUUGCGAAAGUAAGACUAAUACCCAAUGACGUCUCUAGAAGACAUCUGAAAGAGAUUAAAGAUUUAUCGGUGAUGGAUGGGGAUGCGUCUGAUUAGCUUGUUGGCGGGGUAACGGCCCACCAAGGCUACGAUCAGUAGGGGUUCUGAGAGGAAGGUCCCCACAUUGGAACUGAGACACGGUCCAAACUCC
rnacentral:rRNA from 1 species